GGAUAUGAAGGCUAUCUGGGUGUGGUAGCUGUCACUUCUCUGGUUGCUAGGGUGCACCUGGAUGAUCUGGCUAACUGGGCAGGUACUCUCCUGUCUUCACUUCC
rnacentral:sRNA from 1 species